ACACAUCUACUGUGAAGUUGGUAGUGGCUCUGUGAUUCUCUUAUUUUGAAAAUUCACUGCCGGUGGUUGGACUGAGUCCCAUGAAGCCAGAUCACUUCUGACUGCAAGGAGCUUGGAAAAGCAAGUAUCUGGAUCUUUUACCAGCUAAAUUUGGAGCGAUGAGGCUUCCUCUUUGAAGAUCACAGGUGAGAAGAUUAGGUGCUUUCUCAGAAGCCCAGCAACCUGAUGGGAGUGUGGAGUGAGCAAGACCCAAAUCGGAGCUUCAUCCCUGCAUGGUUCAUUUUGCUUAUUUGGCAAACUUGCCCUGCAGAAUCUACUCAAGCUUCCUCAGUUUCUCAAAUCAUUCUUGGGCAACAAAUGAACAAGAAAGAGGACGUCUUAUUAUCUGGUGUCUGGCUUGCUGAUUUAAUAACCUAGGAGACAGUGUUUGAAGAACACAAACUCUAAAGUCCUUCACUUAAAAAAAAAAAAAAACUUUCCCAAAUUGCUUACCAUUUGGAAAAAUUGCCUUACCUUCUUCAGUCAUCUCUGAUGUUGUCAUCCUCAGAGUAAGAAGUACGCAUUCAUAAGGAACCAUAACGUCCUUCAGGAAAUCCAGUACACCCUACAAUUUUACCUAAAACUUUGAUGUUGUUUUUUCUGAGCAUUUUACCUUCUAGGGAAAUGGAUCUCAUGCUGUUUAUCAGUUUCUGAAAGUUGUUAUUAAUCUCCCCUCAUCCCAAAAUUGAAGAACUUUGCUUAAAUCUUAGAAUCAGAACUUUGGCUCCAGUAAUAAAGACUUUUCAAUAUCUUUAUCUGCCAUUGAGUCUUACCUAACGAAAUAAAGCCUCCAAAGUGGGAAUUUGAAA
rnacentral:lncRNA from 1 species